GUGUUUAUAGCCCUGUGACUUUAACACUUCAUGACUGAGAGCUGCUGCUCAGCAACUUCACCCACAGCAACCAUGACUUUGAUCAGCGUCUUCAUCUGCACACUGGCCCUCUGGACUCAAGGAUCCAGAGGUCAGGUGACUGUGACUCAGACUCCUUCAGUGCAAACUGCUGAUCCAGGAAAAACAGUCACCUUCAACUGUAGAACCAGUAGCAGAGUGAAUGGUGGUAAUGACCUACACUGGUACCUGCAGAAACCUGGAGAAGCUCCUAAACUCCUGAUCUACGAUGCUACUAGCUCAUACACAGGAACUCCAGCUCGUUUCAGUGGCAGUGGAUCUAAUACUGACUUCACUCUGACCAUCAGAGGAGUCCAGACUGAAGAUGCAGGAGAUUACUACUGUCAGAGUGAACAUUAUAUCAGUAGUAGCUGGGUGUUCACACAGUGUUAGAGCGCCGUACAAAAACCUCGGUCAGUGAGAGUGCACAGAGAAGCACUGCUGCAGCUGGGAGCGACUGCAGGUGCUGAGGGGGAGGAUGUGAUACAGCACAAUGACACACACUGUGGACGAGAGAAAACACACCACACUAACUCACUAAUGCACACACACAUCUGUGAGAGGAGUCCACCUUUCUCUUUAUUCUGCUCUACAUGAUUAUGUCAGUCACACUGAUGGCCACAUAAUGCAGUCAGAUAAAACCAUAAAGUACUGACUCUACUGCUGAGACACUGAGACUCCUCUCUCAUUCUCCAGAGUCUCUGUGUGUUUCUCCAGAAGAGACUGUUAUUAUCAGCUGCAGGACCGGUGUGGAUAUUGUCCGAACCUUCAGAAACCUGGAGAAGCUCCUAAACUCCUGAAACACCAGGUAUAUCAGCAUCAGUGUGGGAUUCCACCUGGGUUCAGUGGGAGUGGAUUAUGGGACAGAAUUUGUAAAAGUCACUUGAAUAUGCAGGAGAUCAGUACUGUCAGACACAACUCAUGCUGGUGUGGUCAACAGCUGCUCAUAGCAGGGUCGCUGAUCUUCAUUUGAUCAUUUAUUCCAUAAUCACUCCUUUUUGUUCAUUUUGAUCCCAAACUUUCUAUAAGAAAGAUAUAAAUUCUGUAUCUAAUACAGUUAGGGUUAGGAUUACACUGACGUCCAAUAACGGCUUGUACUUCUUUUAAACUCCUCACCAUUACAUCGAACACAAUAAUGGACUGAGCCUAGCUUACCUUUGUGCACUUCUCCAGUCCUACUGACCAUUCCACUCUCUUAGAGCGUUUUCAGACCUGUAGAUCUGUGAUUUGUUCUGAAACGGGGACAUAAAUUGUUCAAAUGUUGCAUUUUGUCCUUGGCACGGUUUGCUUUCACAAGGCAAUUUAAAAGCAUCCCAAAAUGUGUUUAUGCAAGUCAGGUGUGAGGAACCGAAUUGUAAACGAAUACAGAUUGUUUUGGUGCGGAUCCGAGCAAGAUUGCAGUGUUCAUAUAUGUCUAAAUGAACCGAACCAAGGGAGAAAACACACCAGGUUCCGAAACAAACGCUCCAAAUGAGCCAGGUGUGAAAAUGCCCUUAGAUCUGCUGACUCGGGUCUACCUUCCACUGCACACACACACACACACACACACACACACACACACACACACACACACAGCUCUAGUUCAUGAGCACUAACUCUAAAAAUGCUCAUAAUAUUUGGAAGAAGACACACUUCUU